rnacentral:rRNA from 1 species
UUCGUCCAAUUGAAGCAGAGGACAGUGGCGGACGGGUGAGUAACGCGUGAGGAACCUGCCUUUCAGAGGGGGACAACAGUUGGAAACGACUGCUAAUACCGCAUAAUGUAUUCGGAAGGCAUCUUCUGGAUACCAAAGGAGAAAUCCGCUGAUGGAUGGGCUCACGUCUGAUUAGCUAGUUGGUGGGGUAACGGCCUACCAAGGCGACGAUCAGUAGCCGGACUGAGAGGUUGAACGGCCACAUUGGGACUGAGAUACGGCCCAGACUCC